UAAGGUAACGGCUUACCAAGGCAACGAUGCAUAGCCGACCUGAGAGGGUGAUCGGCCACACUGGAACUGAGACACGGUCCAGACUCCUACGGGAGGCAGCAGUAGGGAAUCUUCCGCAAUGGGCGAAAGCCUGACGGAGCAACGCCGCGUGAGUGAUGAAGGUCUUCGGAUCGUAAAACUCUGUUAUUAGGGAAGAACAUAUGUGUAAGUAACUGUGCACAUCUUGACGGUACCUAAUCAGAAAGCCACGGCUAACUACGUGCCAGCAGCCGCGGUAAUACGUAGGUGGCAAGCGUUAUCCGGAAUUAUUGGGCGUAAAGCGCGCGUAGGCGGUUUUUUAAGUCUGAUGUGAAAGCCCACGGCUCAACCGUGGAGGGUCAUUGGAAACUGGAAAACUUGAGUGCAGAAGAGGAAAGUGGAAUUCCAUGUGUAGCGGUGAAAUGCGCAGAGAUAUGGAGGAACACCAGUGGCGAAGGCGACUUUCUGGUCUGUAACUGACGCUGAUGUGCGAAAGCGUGGGGAUCAAACAGGAUUAGAUACCCUGGUAGUCCACGCCGUAAACGA
rnacentral:rRNA from 1 species